rnacentral:tRNA from 1 species
UUAAAAUAAAGCGAUAUUUAAUUGCAUUCAGUUUCGACCUGAAAUUAGAGAGACUCUAUUUUUUAAU